ACCAUUUCCAAAUUGACAUCCCUGCUUGGUUUUGCUAUCAGUAUCAGUAAAUAUAUAUAUUUAGCUUCACUUGACCUCUUGAAGCUUCAUCCGUCAUGCCAGAGAGUAAGGACGUCACACUAGAUGUAAAGGACAUUGAAGAAAAGGAAUUGUUUAAUACAAUUAGAAUGAGCGUUGAGUAAUCAAAAUAUAAACCUUUAGUAAAAAUAGUAAAAUAGAAGUAAUUUCAAAUGAGCAGAUAACUUCUGGCAGUUUUGUCUUUUGGUUCUGUGUUCUCAUCAACUUUUUAAGCCACUCCAUUUCAAAUAUCCACAGAACUCACAAAUAAGACAGCAGAUCCAAUACUUUAUCAAUGCUUACAGCCAGAGAAAUGAAAAAGCUCUGAUUUAAAUGGUAAGGCUGGCCAUCCUUCAAGCUAUCAUUCUUUUAAAUCCCCAUGCUCCAGCAAUUUGCUCUGAGACUUGCAACUCAUCUGAUUCCCACUUCUGAGAACAAAAUUCUCCGAAAUAAGUAGAUAACCUCCACUGGCUAUGAUUUUAUGACAGUACUUUGAUUAGCAGGUGAUCCUUCUACUGAAGUCAAGUGAAAACACCAGGAUCGUGGUUUUAAAUGGCAUGUCUCAGCUGUUGUGAAGUCCAGGAUAAAGCCGUGUCCCCUCCAACACUAAAGAAAUAGUAUUAUCCAGUAUGACACAUGCCUAGAUAUGUCUGAUUGUGAUCAUAAUAUAGCCUUAAGGUGAGACCUAUAGAGUGAUGGGCAGCCCUUCUAAUGACUGGGGAUUUCAAACAGUAAUGUGGCAGUAUCUUCUUUUGGACCUAGGACCCUUAGACCUCUUGUUGUGUAGUCACAUGCCACAGGACAAUUUCCUUU